rnacentral:rRNA from 2 species
GCAUAUCAAUAAGCGGAGGAAAAGAAACCAACAGGGAUUGCCUUAGUAACGGCGAGUGAAGCGGCAACAGCUCAAAUUUGAAAUCUGGCCCUUGGGUCCGAAUUGUAAUUUGUAGAGGAUGAUUUUGGUGCGGUAUCUUCCGAGUUCCUUGGAACAGGACGCCUUAGAGGGUGAGAGCCCCGUACGGUUGAAUGCCUAGCCUCUGUAAAUCUCCUUCGACGAGUCGAGUAGUUUGGGAAUGCUGCUCUAAAUGGGAGGUAAAUUUCUUCUAAAGCUAAAUAUUGGCCAGAGACCGAUAGCGCACAAGUAGAGUGAUCGAAAGAUGAAAAGCACUUUGAAAAGAGGGUUAAAUAGCACGUGAAAUUGUUGAAAGGGAAGGAUUUGUGACCAGACUUUUUCUGGGCGGAUCAUCCGGGGUUCUCUCCGGUGCACUUCGCCCAGUAAAGGCCAGCAUCGGUUUUCGGCGUGGGAUAAAAGCAGUAGGAAUGUGGCUCUCUACGGGGAGUGUUAUAGCCUAUUGUAUAAUACCGCGCUGGGGACCGAGGUUCGCGCUUCUGCAAGGAUGCUGGCGUAAUGGUUAUCAAUCACCCGUCUUGAAACACGGACCAAGGAGUCGAACAUUUGUGCGAGUGUUUGGGUGUUAAACCCUCACGCGUAAUGAAAGUGAACGGAGGUGAGAGCCCUUACGGGUGCAUCAUCGACCGAUCCUGAAGUUUUCGGAUGGAUUUGAGUAAGAGCAUAACUGUUCGGACCCGAAAGAUGGUGAACUAUGCGUGGAUAGGGUGAAGCCAGAGGAAACUCUGGUGGAGGCUCGCAGCGGUUCUGACGUGCAAAUCGAUCGUCAAAUCUGCGCAUGGGGGCGAAAGACUAAUCGAACCAUCUAGUAGCUGG